GCACUGGCUUGGUUAGGUGAAGGAAAAUCCAGAAUCCGAAUCCCGAAGGAUUCGAAAACGGUUGUGCACUGGUCCUGAGUCCCACCGGCCGCCAAGAGUCACAAGCACACCCCCAAAUCACACACAACAGCCAACACUUCCCCACAGAAAGCCAACGCCAGUCUAAAAUAUUUUUUAGGCUCUGUAAAAAAUCCCAAACCCGGGCUACAGCCACACGGGCUGUUUUUCUCAGGGGUGUGUGAAGAAAAACCGAUGGUAGGUUAAGGUUUAGAUGUGGUUAAGGGGUAUAUUACUCUAAAAGUACACAUCUCAACGUCUGUAUGGACGGAGAAGAAAAAUUGAAUAAACAUAUAUUGUGCUCAGACGCAUCACCACCCUAAUGAUGCCGGCUGUUUAUUUUUAAAUGUCUUCAAAUUUUGUCAUUCAGGUCUGUCGCGACGCGUUUCGAACCUUCCCACAGUGUUCUCAUCAGGCGAAUUCAAUGACAAAAUGACUCUGACCCAGCUCGCUCCAGCAUUUAUGUGCCAGGAGGGCGGGGCUUCUCACCUCGCAACCAAUAGCAACCGAUAACCACCUUCAGCAUUGUAUGAUGCUUCAUGAAUUGUUUCUUUCACAUACUAAUAAACUGUAUUGUUGUUUUUUAAUUUUUUACAGGUACUAGGCGAAUAAUGUCGAUCAGCAGGCACUUGCAGCAGGUAAGUAGGCACCUUUGUGCAUAAUUCAGGUGAGUACAGGGAACUCGAGGUCCAUAGGAACCCGGCACUGGCUUGGUUAGGUGAAGGAAAAUCCAGAAUCCGAAUCCCGAAGGAUUCGAAAACGGUUGUGCACGGUCCUGAGUCCCACCGGCCGCCAAGAGUCACAAGCACACCCCCAAAUCACACACACAACAGCCAACACUUCCCCACAGAAAGCCAACGCCAGUCUAAAAUAUUUUUUUAGGCUCUGUAAAAAAUCCCAAACCCGGGCUACAGCCACACGGGCUGUUUUUCUCAGGGGUGUGUGAAGAAAAACCGAUGGUAGGUUAAGGUUUAGAUGUGGUUAAGGGGUAUAUUACUCUAAAAGUACACAUCUCAACGUCUGUAUGGACGGAGAAGAAAAAUUGAAUAAACAUAUAUUGUGCUCAGACGCAUCACCACCCUAAUGAUGCCGGCUGUUUAUUUUUAAAUGUCUUCAAAUUUUGUCAUUCAGGUCUGUCGC